rnacentral:sRNA from 1 species
GUGUGAUUGCGUGUGUCAUCUACAAUAGGCUCAGUGCUCCAUUUCCAGAAUCAGGUCAAAGAUAGAGCUGUUUUAAAGCCGCUAGCCAAAAAUAAAAAACAGUUUAACUGCAGUGAAAGGACUCUGGCUUAAAAUCAAUAUCGAUUAAUUAUUCUGCCUGGAUUGAGACAAAGAUAUGAAAAACAAAAAAGAAAUAACUACUCUUGUCGAGAUUGCUCACUAGCGCUACCCGGUGGAAGUUUCCAGACCCUUAAAAUCAAACCAUGGAGCCUGGAAAGAUAUAAUGGACCUGGGUGAUACCCUGCACCGUAACCUACUUAGCCUUAAGGUAUUUAAAAAUUUUCUGUUGGAUUAUAAUGUACUGUGAAUUGGCGGAGCCAACUGUUGCAUGGACCUAUGGAAUUCCGACAAGUGGUUAAGCCAUUAUGAAAUGUUUCAGUUACACAUUUCAGGCACGCAGCCAAUAAAAGUUUUAUUUUGAGUUUUAA